UACUGCUUCUAAAGAACAACAUGGCAUUCAGGACUGUUCAAACCAGGCCCUGAAAGGCUAUGCCCAGGCUGGCCACAUGGAAUAUUCAUCCUUGAGGUCACACACACUGAGAGACACCUUCUGAUGAAAACCCUUUUAAUUUUAGGGACACUCCUCUGCCCUUACAAAAGCUGUAGAUCCCAUCUUCAAUAAUGUUUAGUAUAGCAGCUGAGAAACUAAAAUUAGGUCUCCUGGAGAAAAGGG